rnacentral:rRNA from 1 species
UACAGAGGUCUCAAGCGUUGUUCGGAUUCAUUGGGCGUAAAGGGUGCGUAGGUGGCGCGGUAAGUCGGGUGUGAAAUUUCGGAGCUUAACUCCGAAACUGCAUUCGAUACUGCCGUGCUUGAGGACUGGAGAGGAGACUGGAAUUUACGGUGUAGCAGUGAAAUGCGUAGAGAUCGUAAGGAAGACCAGUGGCGAAGGCGGGUCUCUGGACAGUUCCUGACACUGAGGCACGAAAGCGUGGGGAGCAAACAGG